AUAUAGUAAUACAUGGUUUCAUAAUAUUCCAUCAUAAUAAAUUAACCAUAUAUCAAGUUUCAAAAUAUUGUCUCUCGAGUCAUCAUCAGCCAAUGGUUUUUGCACCGAUGUCGAGCGUCGUUUCCUUAGGCGUUUAUCCAGCUAACCUCAAAUACAGUUAUGCGUUUGUAACAUGGAACAGGUUUAACGUGCACAACGUUGACAGAAAGCUUGUGAACUUGUGUUGUCUUUCCGUACAGACAAUUAAUGACGUUGUAAGUCUCGAGGCUCGUUUGCGAUCAUGGAAUAAAUACCGCACGUGGAUUUCGCGGAGAAGAAGUGAGAAGGGAAGAGGAAAGAGGGAGAGAGGUAGAAGCACUCUUUGCGGGCGGGUCAAUUAACGGCAUCGUUAAGCGGCGUGACUCGCUUGUAAUCACGAGAAGGAUUUCACCGAAAGAAAUGGAACAACGUGUACGCUCCUCUUAUUAUGAAUUAGUUAAUAAGCAUUAGAAAAGAUAAAAGAACGAAAGAGAGAAAGAUUACGAAAGAGAGGAAGAAAAGUUGGCCCGGAUAGGAUGACCUUGAAAGAAGGUUCCUCGAGGAGCGCCGAAGGGUCUUCCACGGAGAGCAGCAACGAGGCAGAGGAGAAACUGGGUAGCGAGACGGUGUAGAUACGCGUAAGGAAGCGUAACGCCUACGUAGAGCCGAGCCUCUGACUCGCGACUUCCGGUCAAGCGGCAGGAAGCACGCUCGGUGCGUCGCCGCCACCGACAUCGACUUCACGUCCUUAGACCUAGUAGUCAUGAGCUACGAAAUAUUUAUUUUGUCUAUAAGUCGAUCAGAAUGCAAAUCUGUCAUUAGUUUCAUCUUUUGAUCAAAAUAGAAUUAAAUCUUCUAUCACGCCUAUUAUGCAUGAUAUAAAAAAAUUCGAAAUUUUCAUUUUAUUUGAGAUAUCACUCGAUGAGAUAUGGUUUCUAAUUAAUUACACAAAUAUAAAUUGCUAAUAUUGAAUUUUUAUAAAUGAUAGAGAAAAAAAUUUUUUCUAUAAUGUAAUCUCUUUGAAAUUUUAUUCUUAUUUGAUAAUGCGAGGAAAUUCUUAGAAAAGACCAGACCGGAGAUUAUAUUUUAUACCUUCAGAAGACUUUAGAUAAUCUUGAGAUAGAAAUUCCAUUUCCUUGACGAGAUAAUCUUUUUAUGAAAUUACUUUAUAUCAUUAAAUGAUUUUAUAAUUCUUCUGAGUUUUCUUUUACAAUUUUUUUUAUACUAAUUUUAUUUUAGAUACAUUGAAAUAACAAUUUUUCAAAAUUAGUUUUUAUUAAUUAAAAAAAUGAAAAAUAUAAGUCAAAUUAUAAAAAUGAAAAAAUAGAAGAAACAAAAAAAUGUAUUAACAUAAAGAUUACAUUUUUGGUUUUUCAUUUAUAUUCUUUUGAUACAAUUUUUAUCCAAGAAGGAAAAUCAAUUUAUAAAAAUGAAAUUAUAAUUGAAAUCAAUCGACAUUUAGAUUCUUCUUAAUUUUCCAUCUUGAUGGCGACUUAUUAACAUUAACUGGUUACUUUACUACGGAUAUGAAUAUAGAACGAAGGGGAAUGCCACGAAGGUGGCUUCAACCGUACAUCCGGACGAUAUAAAUGAGAAGUUGAACUUUCAUAGUAGUCGCUAUUAAAGUUCAUUCAGUUUCGAUAUUGUCUUAACCCUUGGUUGGAAUUAUUAUAUUAAGAUAUGAUUUAAGAUAUGAUGAUGAAUGCAAAAUGUUUUUAUAAUACUUUAUAAAAAAAUAACAAUGAAUAAACAAUAGAUUUUAAU